rnacentral:rRNA from 1 species
AUUGAACGCUGGCGGCAUGCCUUACACAUGCAAGUCGAACGGCAGCGCGGACUUCGGUCUGGCGGCGAGUGGCGAACGGGUGAGUAAUGUAUCGGAACGUACCAUUCAGUGGGGGAUAACGCAGCGAAAGUUGCGCUAAUACCGCAUAUUCUGUGCGCAGGAAAGCAGGGGAUCGCAAGACCUUGCGCUGAUUGAGCGGCCGAUAUCAGAUUAGCUAGUUGGUGAGGUAAGAGCCCACCAAGGCGACGAUCAGUAGCUGGUCUGAGAGGACGCCCAGCCACACUGGGACUGAGACACGGCCCAGACUCCUACGGGAGGCAGCAGUGGGGAAUUUUGGACAAUGGGCGCAAGCCUGAUCCAGCCAUGCCGCGUGCGGGAAGAAGGCCUUCGGGUUGUAAACCGCUUUUGGCAGGAACGAAACGGCGCAGGCCAAUACCUUGCGCUAAUGACGGUACCUGCAGAAUAAGCACCGGCUAACUACGUGCCAGCAGCCGCGGUAAUAC